rnacentral:rRNA from 1 species
UACGUAGGGUGCAAGCGUUGUCCGGAAUUAUUGGGCGUAAAGAGCUCGUAGGCGGUCUGUCACGUCGGCUGUGAAAACCCGAGGCUCAACCUCGGGCCUGCAGUCGAUACGGGCAAACUAGAGUACUGCAGGGGAGACUGGAAUUCCUGGUGUAACGGUGAAAUGCGCAGAUAUCAGGAGGAACACCGGUGGCGAAGGCGGGUCUCUGGGCAGUAACUGACGCUGAGGAGCGAAAGCGUGGGGAGCGAACAGG